rnacentral:rRNA from 1 species
UUCUGUAAGCCUGUGAAGGUGAGUUGAGAAGCUUGCUGGAGGUAUCAGAAGUGCGAAUGCUGACAUGAGUAACGACAAUGGGUGUGAAAAACACCCACGCCGAAAGACCAAGGGUUCCUGCGCAACGUUAAUCGACGCAGGGUUAGUCGGUUCCUAAGGCGAGGCUGAAAAGCGUAGUCGAUGGGAAACAGGUUAAUAUUCCUGUACUUCUGGUUACUGCGAUGGAGGGACGGAGAAGGCUAGGCCAGCUUGGCGUUGGUUGUCCAAGUUUAAGGUGGUAGGCUGAAAUCUUAGGUAAAUCCGGGGUUUCAA